rnacentral:rRNA from 1 species
UACGUAGGGUGCGAGCGUUAAUCGGAAUUACUGGGCGUAAAGUGUGCGCAGGUGGCCGCGCAAGUCGAGUGUGAAAAUCCCCGAGCUUAACUUGGGAAUUGCGCUCGAAACUACGUGGCUCGAGUGUGGCAGAGGAAGGUGGAAUUCCACGUGUAGCGGUGAAAUGCGUAGAGAUGUGGAGGAACACCGAUGGCGAAGGCAGCCAUCUGGACCGACACUGACGCUGAGGCGCGAAAGCGUGGGGAGCGAACAGG